CUACGUGCCAGCAGCCGCGGUAAUACGGAGGGUGCGAGCGUUAAUCGGAAUAACUGGGCGUAAAGGGCACGCAGGCGGUGACUUAAGUGAGGUGUGAAAGCCCCGGGCUUAACCUGGGAAUUGCAUUUCAUACUGGGUCGCUAGAGUACUUUAGGGAGGGGUAGAAUUCCACGUGUAGCGGUGAAAUGCGUAGAGAUGUGGAGGAAUACCGAAGGCGAAGGCAGCCCCUUGGGAAUGUACUGACGCUCAUGUGCGAAAGCGUGGGGAGCAAACAGGAUUAGAUACCCUGGUAGUCCAUGCCGUAAACGUUGGGCACUAGGUGUGGGGGACAUUCCACGUUUUCCGCGCCGUAGCUAACGCAUUAAGUGCCCCGCCUGGGGAGUACGGCCGCAAGGCUAAAACUCAAAGAAAUUGACGGGGGCCCGCACAAGCGGCGGAGCAUGCGGAUUAAUUCGAUGCAACGCGAAGAACCUUACCAAGGCUUGACAU
rnacentral:rRNA from 1 species